rnacentral:tRNA from 1 species
AGGGAGUUAGUCCAAAAUAAGACCUCUGAUUUCGGCUCAGAAAAUUGUGGUUUGAGUCCAUAACCCCCUU